UGUAUUUCGUCAGAAAAACCGACACUGGUCCGUUUUACUUCAGAAUUGAAAUUCCACAACAUAAAAGCUUCACUUUCUCAAACAAUAAGGUGACCCUCGAUAUCUUCCAAGUUCCUGAGCCUCCCGUGAUGACUAUAGAAGUCCGUAAUAAAGUGACUGCCACCUGCAAAGUAACUCACGUCUGUCCAACAUCUCCUCCCCACAUCUCCUGGAGCCGCGCAGGAACGUGGACAACAAUGUCAAAACAGGAGAAUAAAUGGUUGUGGUCAACAACGUCGACCAUGACCUUCACCCCUCAAGAAGCCGAUAUUAACAAGCCUGUAGAAUGUAUGGUGACAUUCCAUGGCAGGAAGACCACAAAGGGGUCUGUGCUUCUCACCAAGUAGAGGACUAAGUUUAACUACGUAUGCAGUUUUAGAUUACAGCAAUAUUAUUAGAGCUGUCUGCUAUAAUGACAAAUUGAUUUUGCAGAAAAAGGCCUGAAUUAGUAAAACUGCAAAG